rnacentral:rRNA from 1 species
GUCGAGAAUCUUUCACAAUGGGGGCAACCCUGAUGGAGCGACGCCGCGUGGAGGAUAAGGUCUUCGGAUUGUAAACUCCUGUCAUGCGUGAACAAGGUUGCUUGGUUAAUACCUGGGCAAAUUGAUGGUAACGCAAGAGGAAGAGACGGCUAACUCUGUGCCAGCAGCCGCGGUAAUACAGAGGUCUCAAGCGUUGUUCGGAAUCACUGGGCGUAAAGGGUGCGUAGGUGGCGUGGUAAGUCAGAUGUGAAAGCCCGGUGCUCAACCUCGGAACUGCAUCCGAUACUGCCAUGCUAGAGUACUGGAGAGGUGACUAGAAUUCUCGGUGUAGCAGUGAAAUGCGUAGAUAUCGAGAGGAAUACCAAAGGCGUAGGCAGGUCACUGGACAGUUACUGACACUGAGGCACGAAGGCCAGGGGAGCGAACGGGAUUAGAUACCCCUGUAGUCC